UUUCCUGCAGCUCAGUGGUUUGAGUGUGUGGGACUAUGACUCUGGAGACCAGGGUUCAAUUCCCAGCUUGGACA